GGAACAACAACAACAACAAGAACUCAGACGAAGAAGAAGGUGGUUCUUAAGUCACGCCGUCUGUCAACUCGUAGACAUGAGGAAUGCAGAUGACGUCGUUUCGAGAGAGAUGGAACCAGGUGUUGCACCCGAGCCGAGCAGUGCAGGUGCUCCGCUCCUAGCAGAAGAGAACGUGGAACAAGAAAGGACAAAGUAAGUUCCGUGGGAUAAGAUUAUCUCAUUGAAUAUUCUCAUCCCGUGUCAAAAAUUCUGAAACGCUGUUUACUGCUCACUUACACUCAUCGUCAUAUGUGAAACCCAUAGAAACCGAUGGGUGCUGAUGUAAACUCAUAAACUAAGUUUCAUUUUUACUUUGAUGUCCAUAUAUUAUAUGAUACCGUCUGAGAUACA